CCUGCCUCAAAGAGGGGGACAACAGUUGGAAACGACUGCUAAUACCGCAUAAGCCCACGACCCGGCAUCGGGUUGAGGGAAAAGGAGCAAUCCGCUUUGAGAUGGCCUCGCGUCCGAUUAGCUAGUUGGUGAGGUAACGGCCCACCAAGGCGACGAUCGGUAGCCGGACUGAGAGGUUGAACGGCCACAUUGGGACUGAGACACGGCCCAGACUCCUACGGGAGGCAGCAGUGGGGAAUAUUGCACAAUGGGGGAAACCCUGAUGCAGCGACGCCGCGUGGAGGAAGAAGGUCUUCGGAUUGUAAACUCCUGUUGCUGAGGAAGAUAAUGACGGUACUCAACAAGGAAGUGACGGCUAACUACGUGCCAGCAGCCGCGGUAAAACGUAGGUCACAAGCGUUGUCCGGAAUUACUGGGUGUAAAGGGAGCGCAGGCGGGAAGACAAGUUGGAAGUGAAAUCCAUGGGCUCAACCCAUGAACUGCUUUCAAAACUGUUUUUCUUGAGUAGUGCAGAGGUAGGCGGAAUUCCCGGUGUAGCGGUGGAAUGCGUAGAUAUCGGGAGGAACACCAGUGGCGAAGGCGGCCUACUGGGCACCAACUGACGCUGAGGCUCGAAAGUGUGGGUAGCAAACAGGAUUAGAUACCCUGGUAGUCCACACCGUAAACGAUGAUUACUAGGUGUUGGAGGAUUGACCCCUUCAGUGCCGCAG
rnacentral:rRNA from 1 species